GGCCAUAUCACGUUGAAACGCCUGUUCUCGUACGAUCACCAAAGUUAAGCAAUGUCGAUCCUGGUGAGUACUUAGAUGGGUGACCUCUUCGGCAUACCAGGUGCUAUA